AUGGAGAAACUAUCUUGGUCAAGAUAUUCAGCAGUAAAACGUAGCAGUAGAUGCUAUGGGAAUUUCACAGUGGGACAACAUACAGCCCUUGAUUAUAAGACCAUCCCAUCUAGUAAAGAAGUUCUGCAGCAACCAAAAAGAAGAGGCAAACAAUCCAUAACCAGCUUCACAAUAUCCAGAGAGGAAACCAAAUUGGAGAAGCUCAUCUCUUCCUGAUUGUAGGAGGCGAGAAAAAUUUACUGUUUGGCUUUUCAAGUAAACACUGCAUUUACAAUGGCCAGCAUUCUCAACAGCAUUCUCAUUAUUGUAUAGUAAAAGCUGGUGACUUGGCUUUGUGGUGCCAUUUCAUGUCAUGUUCCUCAGUGCUAGCCACGGGUUUCAUGCCCUGAAACUGCUCAGUGAAAGGUCAGUAGAGUGAGGUGUAAGUUCGUGGGUUUAGUACAGAAAUAGCUGUAGGAGGACUUAAAGGGACACAUGAUCAGUGUAAACAGCAAUGUGAUAGUGUUCCUGGACAAUUUUUUCUACAAGGUAAUACAUGAUAAUACUGUUUGAGUGACAAUUCUGUGAUUAAAACCCAUUUGCCCAUGAACACUUGGCUUGUAAUUUAAGCCAGAAAUGAGAAUAUUCUAGAUGGUCCUCACUUUUUAGAAUUAUUACAAUGAUUAAGCAAACAUUUUCUAAAACAACAACAAAACUCCAUACUUGAUCUAUGCGAGAAGAUUGGUACUUCUUAACUUUGUUUUUUUUCUAUUUUUAUUUAUUUAUUUUUUUGGUACUUCUUAACUUUGGUUAACACCACAUGGUUGCCGGGGAUUUAGCUCAGUGGUUCUGCAGCCUGCCAUUCAAGCACAAGGACCCGAGUUUGAUCCCCAGUACCAAAAAAUAAAACAACAAAAAAAAAACCACCACAUGGUAGAAGGGAUCAGAGUUAACAUUUGAAGAAAUUUUGAGUACAUCUUCAAGCUUAAAAUUGUUAGUAGGUUCUUGAGUGUGAAAGUAUCAACAGGGCUUGGAGGUCUGCAAGUUGAGGCAUUAGGAGCCUAAUUUGUAAGACUAGGGAAAGUUCAUCAAAUUCUUGUCUUAGGAAUAGUGCCCCAGAAUAGUUCUUUAUUACCAAGUGUUUGGGCCAAAUUUAGGUCCUUUUAUGUGACUUAACAUACUUGAGUUUAAACAAGAGGUUGCAGAAAGUUUGAAAUUUGAGGCCACCUAGUUUGCAAAGUAUUUCGAAGGAAACUGUCACCAUGUUUAGAUUAUUUGACUGCCUACCAGUAUCAAACCAGAUACUGAAUCAGGUGAAUAAAUGCCAUGUUUAUUGGGAAAUGGUAUAGGUGGAACCAUUAUUAGGUAAUGGGAGUCUGAAAGGAAGAGGUCAUAAGAAAAACUGUUCUCUGAAUACUUUGGGUAGAGCUUUUAGUGGUCCUUAGGUAACAAAAUAGAAGGCCACCUAGACAAUUUAGAAAUUCUUAGCAGUGUUCUUAUUUUAGCCACCAAAUUCUCCAGUCAAAUCCUAAGUGUAGAAAUGCUGCAGGGCCCUUAGGCCAAGAGGGAAAACUUAGGCAGAAUGAUCACAUUGCUUCUGAUAGAGAAUGUCACACUCUUCUAUGAUAUGAUGCAGUCAGAGAAAAUUGAGGUAAUACUUCUUGGUUAGGAAAGCGCUGGUCAAACACUGUUCUUGAGUUAUGUUUCAAUCUACUGCUGAAUUCCAAACCACCCACAAACCCUAGUGGCUUAAUGUAAUGCUUUGUUUUUUAUUUCUGGCUAUUCUGUGGGUUCGCCAGGCCAUUGUUCUAUACUGGCUACAGGCUCAUGUGAGUGAGCACAUUCAGCUGCAGGGCCUGUUGGGCUGGAAGGUCUAAAGUGGUUUGCUAUCUGGCUGAAAGUUGGUAUUGAAUAGUAGCCAUUGGCUGAGCAACCUGUUUCCUCCUCGAGACCUCUCACCCUCCCAUAGACUAGACAGGUUUCCUUACAUGGCAGAGGUAGGGCAGCAUUCUGAGUGGAAGGCACACACCAAAAGGUCUCCUUAGGCCCAUCCAGGCUCCACAAGCCUCAUAAUGUGUACUGUACCUGUAUUCUGUUUGUCAGCAGGUGGCCAGCCCAGCCAAGAUCCAUGGAGGUGGAGACAUAGACUUCACCUCUGGACUGGGGUGGCGGUGUCAUGUUACAAAGGAAUUGAUUACCACUAAAUAAUUUGCCACAAAGUGGCUACAUGUGGCAAGCACUAUGCUGUGUGCAUUUAAGGCAUUAUCUCACCUAACCCACACAGCCAUCUGGCAGAGUUGGCAUUCUUAUCUUCAUUGUGUAGAAUAGGCCAGAAAGGCCUGUUCUUUCCACACAAGGCCACUGAUAAGUUUUGGCACUAGGGUUGAUUCUAGCUGUCUCUCUCUUGCUGAAUGGAAUUCUUAAGAACCCAACAUAUGGAAGAAAAUUGCUAACUUGUUCACCAGCUCCUCUAACCCAUUCAGUACUCUCUUCUGUUUCCCGUGGGGAGCAGGCAACAGGGAAAGGAAAACAGAAGGCAGGAGGCAAAGCUUUAACUGUAGCCACUUUCUUACAUCCCUGGGACUUUCUCAGUUGUGACCUGAUUGUUGAUUUGAAGGUGAGAAGAACUUCCCUGGCUCUUUAGGUUCUGACUUCCUAGGCGUGUUGGCAGGUAUCUCAAUGCUCCUUUAAGAAAAAAAAAAAAAAAAAA
rnacentral:lncRNA from 1 species